rnacentral:misc_RNA from 1 species
AAGUCGUAACAAGGUCUCCGUUGGUGAACCAGCGGAGGGAUCAUUACCAGAGUGCCCUAGGCUCUCCAACCCAUUGUGAACUUACCAAACGUUCCCUCGGCGGGCUCAGCGCGCGGUGGCCUCCGGGCCUCCGGGCGUCCGCCGGGGAAAACCAAACCCUGAUUUAAUCGUAUUUCUCUGAGGGGCGAAAGCCCGAAAACAAAAUGAAUCAAAACUUUCAACAACGGAUCUCUUGGCUCUGGCAUCGAUGC